rnacentral:rRNA from 1 species
CACUUUGUCUUUAUGGCAAAUGUGAGAUGCAGUGUAUGGAAUGUCAAAUUUCUAGUAUGAGAAAUUAACGAUUUAAGUCCUUCUUAAAUGAGGCCAUUUACCCACAGAGGGUGCCAGGCCCGUAUAACGUUAAUGAUUACUAGAUGGCAUUUCCAAAGAGUCGUGUUGCUUGAUAGUGCAGCACUAAGUGGGUGGUAAACUCCAUCUAAAACUAAAUAUAACCAUGAGACCGAUAGUAAACAAGUACCGUGAGGGAAAGUUGAAAAGAACUCUGAAUAGAGAGUUAAAUAGUACGUGAAACUGCUUAGAGGUUAAGCCCGAUGAACCUGAAUAUCCAUUAUAGAAAAUUCAUCAUUAUGAUUUUAAUAUUAAUAAUAUUAUAAUAAUGGUGUGCAUUUUUUCUAUAAAGGACAUUGUAAUCUAUUAACAUAAAUAUAUUUAUCAUAAGAUCAAUGAUGCGUAAGUUUAUUCAAAUUAUUUUGCUUGCAAUUUAACAUAGAAUAAAUGCUCUUGAUUUGAUAAAGUGUUGAUAGAUUUAUUGUAUAUAGUGCUUAAAUAUUUAUAUUUUAUAAUAGCAUAUUAAUCAUUGAUUUUUAUGUUUAUUAUAUGCACUUAUAUGAUUAACAAUGCGAAAGAUUCAGGAUACCUUCGGGACCCGUCUUGAAACACGGACCAAGGAGUCUAACAUAUUUGCAAGUUAUUGGGUAUUAAAACCUAAUAGCGAAAUUAACAUAACUUUAAUGGGAUUAGUUUUUAGAUUAUUUAUAGUCUAUUAAUUCAAUCCCGGGGCGUUCUAUAUAGUUAUGUAUAAUAAUAUUUAUAUUAUUUAUACCUCUAACUAGAGCGUACCUUGAGCAUAUAUGCUGUGACCCGAAAGAUGGUGAACUAUACUUGAUCAGGUUGAAGUCAGGGGAAACCCUGAUGGAAGACCGAAACAGUUCUGACGUGCAAAUCGAUGUCAGAA